GCCGGUUGGCGCAAUGGUAGCGCGCGGGCCUCCUAAGCCCGAGGCUGUGGGGUAAGUUCAAUUCUACAGAUGCG